UAACAAUGAAAGAACAAAAUAAACAGUAGUAGCUUUUGGAAUAGUUAGAUAUAUAUCACAUUACUUGAGAAAAAACUCGUAAAAGACUGAAGGAAUAAACAGGAAGAAACUAAAGACGAAAAGCGCGCGAAACUGCAGGCCUGCCCAAUCUUGCCCGCUUGAAUUGUAAUUUGUAAAUUGUAUUAGUUGUAACAAAUAUUCAUCCAAAACCUUCACACCAGUUAGUUCUUGCCGAAAUGAAGUGAUAGAACGGGAUCGGAAGCUGUAGGACG